GCCGCGUCUUCGCUCGAUUGCUGGCGCUCCAUUCCCAUCUCCCGCUGCUCGCUCACUGGCCUCUCAGCUCCGAGAGGAGAAAUCCCCCAAUUCUUUUGGACCCACGAACGAGAUCCAACGCGCUAGCCGAAGAAAUUGCCGUCGCCACAAGUCUUCGGGGAAUAUCCGGCCGUCUCGGAACCUCCGGAAGAGCAAACAUGCCUUUAGGUACGAAAAAAAGAGGCAGAAAACAAGAAAAAAAAACCACCGUUACAAAACGACUGAGCUCUUGUCACUUGAAGAAAUGAUCCAGCUUUAAAGUCAAUGCAGUGGCGAUUAUCAUUCA